rnacentral:rRNA from 1 species
CUUGCACGCUGGCGGCAGGCUUAACACAUGCAAGUCGAGCGAGCGGCGGACGGGUUAAUAAUGUCUGGGAAACUGCCUGAUGGAGGGGGAUAACUAAUGGAAACGGUAGCUAAUACCGCAUACCAUCGGAUGUGCACAGAUGGGAUUAGCUAGUAGGUGGGGGAAAGGCUAACGUAGGCGACGAUCCCUAGCUGGGCUGAGAGGAUGACAAGCCACACUGGAACUGAGACACGGGCCAGAAUCCUACGGGAGGCAGCAGUGGGGAAUAGUGCACAAUGGGCGCAAGCCUGAUGCAGCCAUGCCGCUUGUAUGAAGAAGUCCUUCGGGUUGUAAAGUACUUUCAGCGGGGAGGCGUUACCCGCAGAAGAAGCACCGGCUAACUCCGUGCCAGCAGCCGCGGUAAUUC